rnacentral:rRNA from 1 species
UGUAGGCUUUGCCUGCUAUCUCUUACCCAUGUCUUUUAAGUACCUUACGUUUCCUCGGCGGGUCCGCCCGCCGAUUGGACAAUUUAAACCAUUUGCAGUUGCAAUCAGCGUCUGAAAAAACUUAAUAGUUACAACUUUCAACAACGGAUCUCUUGGUUCUGGCAUCGAUGAAGAACGCAGCGAAAUGCGAUAAGUAGUGUGAAUUGCAGAAUUCAGUGAAUCAUCGAAUCUUUGAACGCACAUUGCGCCCCUUGGUAUUCCAUGGGGCAUGCCUGUUCGAGCGUCAUUUGUACCUUCAAGCUCUGCUUGGUGUUGGGUGUUUGUCUCGCCUCUGCGUGUAGACUCGCCUCAAAACAAUUGGCAGCCGGCGUAUUGAUUUCGGAGCGCAGUACAUCUCGCGCUUUGCACUCAUAACGACGACGUCCAAAAGUACAUUUUUACACUCUUGACCUCGGAUCAGGUAGGGAUACCCGCUGAACUUAA